GAAAGGUACGUAGGCAACGGGUUCAUCCGUUUAAACACAAAAACAAUAAUAACAUGUAUAUUCUUUUCUCAUCCCUCCAUCCAUGUUUGCACAAUAAAUAUUUCAUAAGCAAAUAACAUUUCAUUCAACAAGUGUGAAAAGGGCUCCCUAGGAGUACCUAGGAUGUUUUGGGUGCCUAACACCUUCCCAUUGCGUAAUUUAC
rnacentral:lncRNA from 1 species